ACGGAGGGGGCGAGCGUUGUUCGGAAUUAUUGGGCGUAAAGGGCGUGUAGGCGGCUGAGUAAGUCAGGUGUGAAAUCCUCAGCCUUAAACCAGAAGAGGCAUCUGGAAACUGUCUGGCUCGAGUGGGGGAGAGGCAAGCGGAAUUCCUGGUGUAGCGGUGAAAUGUGUAGAUAUCAGGAGGAACACCGGUGGCGAAGGCGGCUUGCUGGGCCUCUACUGACGCUGAGACGCGAAAGCGUGGGGAGCAAACAG
rnacentral:rRNA from 1 species